AUGUGUGUUAGUGGAAGCGUCUGGAAAGGCGCGCGAUACAGGGUGACAGCCCCGUACACAAAAGCGCAUAUGCUGUGAGCUCGAUGAGUAGGGCGGGACACGUGGUAUCCUGUCUGAAUAUGGGGGGACCAUCCUCCAAGGCUAAAUACUCCUGACUGACCGAUAGUGAACCAGUACCGUGAGGGAAAGGCGAAAAGAACCCCGGCGAGGGGAGUGAAAAAGAACCUGAAACCGUGUACGUACAAGCAGUGGGAGCACCCUUCGGGGUGUGACUGCGUACCUUUUGUAUAAUGGGUCAGCGACUUAUAUUCUGUAGCAAGGUUAACCGUAUAGGGGAGCCGGAGGGAAACCGAGUCUUAACCGGGCGUUAAGUUGCAGGGUAUAGACCCGAAACCCGGUGAUCUAGCCAUGGGCAGGUUGAAGGUUGGGUAACACUAACUGGAGGACCGAACCGACUAAUGUUGAAAAAUUAGCGGAUGACCUGUGGCUGGGGGUGAAAGGCCAAUCAAACCGGGAGAUAGCUGGUUCUCCCCGAAAGCUAUUUAGGUAGCGCCUCGUGAACUCAUCUCCGGGGGUAGAGCACUGUUUCGGCUAGGGGGCCAUCCCGGCUUACCAACCCGAUGCAAACUGCGAAUACCGGAGAAUGUUAUCACGGGAGACACACGGCGGGUGCUAACGUCCGUCGUGAAGAGGGAAACAACCCAGACCGCCAGCUAAGGUCCCAAAGUCAUGGUUAAGUGGGAAACGAUGUGGGAAGGCCCAGACAGCCAGGAUGUUGGCUUAGAAGCAGCCAUCAUUUAAAGAAAGCGUAAUAGCUCACUGGUCGAGUCGGCCUGCGCGGAAGAUGUAACGGGGCUAAACCAUGCACCGAAGCUGCGGCAGCGAACGUAUCACUUAAAGCGAUUCAGCGGGUUACGAUUGACGGAGCGAAGCGACGUCAAAGCGUAUACAAAGUCGAGUCGGUUUAAGGAUACGUUCGUUGGGUAGGGGAGCGUUCUGUAAGCCUGUGAAGGUGUGUCGUGAGGCAUGCUGGAGGUAUCAGAAGUGCGAAUGCUGACAUAAGUAACGAUAAAGCGGGUGAAAAGCCCGCUCGCCGGAAGACCAAGGGUUCCUGUCCAACGUUAAUCGGGGCAGGGUGAGUCGACCCCUAAGGCGAGGCCGAAAGGCGUAGUCGAUGGGAAACGGGUUAAUAUUCCCGUACUUGGUGUUACUGCGAAGGGGGGACGGAGAAGGCUAUGUUGGCCGGGCGACGGUUGUCCCGGUUUAAGCGUGUAGGUGUGUGUUCCAGGUAAAUCCGGUUCACUUUAAC
rnacentral:rRNA from 1 species